rnacentral:misc_RNA from 1 species
ACAAUCAAAUUCACCCAACGAGAUAUCCCAACAGGAAUUGCACCAGAAAAUUUGUUGUUGUUAAGCUCCAACCUGGAAAAAUUCCAAGCCAGCGAGCUUGGAAGUUCCCCUGAAAAUGAAUUAUCACUUAGCAUCAAGGAUGUCAUACUGAUUGCUGUCCAAAUACCUGAAGGUAUUUCGCCAGUAAAGUUGUUGUUGUAAAGAUGAACCAUGAGCAAAGUAUUACAGUUUCGAAGCGACCGAGGAACCUCACCAGUGAGAUUGUUUGAAAACGCAAUAACACUUACCAAAACACCUCCAGCACAGAGAUUUUCUG